rnacentral:tRNA from 1 species
GGAUUAGUGGUGUAGUGGUAACAUAAUCGCCUUCCAAUCAACGAUUGCGAGCGAUUGCUGUGGGUUCGAUUCCCGCCUAAUUCA